AAGGCUUUAGCUUAAUGAAAGUACUUGGGUUGCAUCCAAGGGAUGUGAGAUAGAGUCUCGCAAGUCUUA
rnacentral:tRNA from 1 species